UAUGGAAGCUGUAGAAUCAGCCAGUGAGACAAAUAAGAAACGAUCUUUUGUCUACAGAAGGCAGCAAUCUAGCAUAAACCUGGAAAUCUUUGUCUAAUUUCAGACAGCUAAGUCUAAUCAAUCCCUUCCAUACAAC